CUCAGGACGAACGCUGGCGGCGUGCUUAACACAUGCAAGUCGAACGGAAAGGCCUUUCGGGGUACUCGAGUGGCGAACGGGUGAGUAACACGUGGGUGAUCUGCCCUGCACUUUGGGAUAAGCCUGGGAAACUGGGUCUAAUACCGAAUAGGACCACGGCAUUCAUGUGCUGUGGUGGAAAGCUUUUGCGGUGUGGGAUGGGCCCGCGGCCUAUCAGCUUGUUGGUGGGGUAAUGGCCUACCAAGGCGACGACGGGUAGCCGGCCUGAGAGGGUGACCGGCCACACUGGGACUGAGAUACGGCCCAGACUCCUACGGGAGGCAGCAGUGGGGAAUAUUGCACAAUGGGCGCAAGCCUGAUGCAGCGACGCCGCGUGAGGGAUGACGGCCUUCGGGUUGUAAACCUCUUUCGCCAGGGACGAAGCGCAAGUGACGGUACCUGGAGAAGAAGGACCGGCCAACUACGUGCCAGCAGCCGCGGUAAUACGUAGGGUCCGAGCGUUGUCCGGAAUUACUGGGCGUAAAGAGCUCGUAGGUGGUUUGUCGCGUUGUUCGUGAAAACUCACAACUCAAUUGUGGGCGUGCGGGCGAUACGGGCAGACUGGAGUACUGCAGGGGAGACUGGAAUUCCUGGUGUAGCGGUGGAAUGCGCAGAUAUCAGGAGGAACACCGGUGGCGAAGGCGGGUCUCUGGGCAGUAACUGACGCUGAGGAGCGAAAGCGUGGGGAGCGAACAGGAUUAGAUACCCUGGUAGUCCACGCCGUAAACGGUGGGUACUAGGUGUGGGUUUCCUUCCUUGGGAUCCGUGCCGUAGCUAACGCAUUAAGUA
rnacentral:rRNA from 1 species